rnacentral:rRNA from 1 species
AGAGUUUGAUCAUGGCUCAGGACGAGCGCUGGCGGCGUGCCUAAUACAUGCAUGUUGAGCGCUGAAGGUUGGUACUUGUACCGACUGGAUGAGCAGCGAACGGGUGAGUAACGCGUGGGGAAUCUGCCUUUGAGCCGGGGGACAACAUUUGGAAACGAAUGCUAAUACCGCAUAAAAACUUUAAACACAAGUUUUAAGUUUGAAAGAUGCAAUUGCAUCACUCAAAGAUGAUCCCGCGUUGUAUUAGCUAGUUGGUGAGGUAAAGGCUCACCAAGGCGAUGAUACAUAGCCGACCUGAGAGGGUGAUCGGCCACAUUGGGACUGAGACACGGCCCAAACUCCUANCGGGGGGCAGCAGUAGGGAAUCUUCGGCAAUGGACGAAAGUCUGACCGAGCAACGCCGCGUCGAGUCAAGAAGGUUUUCGGAUCGUAAAACUCUGUUGGUAGAGAAGAACGUUGGUGAGAGUGGAAAGCUCAUCAAGUGACGGGUAACUACCCAGA